rnacentral:rRNA from 1 species
GACGUAGGGUGCGAGCGUUGUCCGGAUUUAUUGGGCGUAAAGAGCUCGUAGGCGGCUCGUCGCGUCGACCGUGAAAACUUGGGGCUUAACCCUAAGCUUGCGGUUGAUACGGGCGGGCUAGAGUUCGGUAGGGGAGACUGGAAUUCCUGGUGUAGCGGUGAAAUGCGCAGAUAUCGAGAGGAACACCUGCGGCGAAGGCGGGUUGCUGGGCCGACACUGACGCUGAGGCGCGAAAGCGUGGGGAGCAAACAGG